AUUGAACGCUGGCGGCAGGCCUAACACAUGCAAGUCGAGCGGAUGAAGGGAGCUUGCUCCUGGCUUCAGCGGCGGACGGGUGAGUAAUGCCUAGGAAUCUGCCUGGUAGUGGGGGAUAACGUCCGGAAACGGGCGCUAAUACCGCAUACGUCCUGAGGGAGAAAGUGGGGGAUCUUCGGACCUCACGCUAUCAGAUGAGCCUAGGUCGGAUUAGCUAGUUGGUGGGGUAAAGGCCUACCAAGGCGACGAUCCGUAACUGGUCUGAGAGGAUGAUCAGUCACACUGGAACUGAGACACGGUCCAGACUCCUACGGGAGGCAGCAGUGGGGAAUAUUGGACAAUGGGCGAAAGCCUGAUGCAGCCAUGCCGCGUGUGUGAAGAAGGUCUUCGGAUUGUAAAGCACUUUAAGUUGGGAGGAAGGGCAGUAAGUUAAUACCUUGCUGUUUUGACGUUACCAACAGAAUAAGCACCGGCUAACUUCGUG
rnacentral:rRNA from 1 species